rnacentral:rRNA from 1 species
UACGAAAGGCAGCAGUGGGGAAUAUUGCACAAUGGGCGCAAGCCUGAUGCAGCCAUGCCGCGUGUAUGAAGAAGGCCUUCGGGUUGUAAAGUACUUUCAGUCGUGAGGAAGGUGUUAAGGUUAAUAACCUUAGCAAUUGACGUUAGCGACAGAAGAAGCACCGGCUAACUCCGUGCCAGCAGCCGCGGUAAUACGGAGGGUGCGAGCGUUAAUCGGAAUUACUGGGCGUAAAGGGCACGCAGGCGGUUAAUUAAGUUGGAUGUGAAAUCCCCGGGCUUAACCUGGGAAUGGCAUUCAAGACUGGUUAGCUAGAGUCUUGUAGAGGGGGUAGAAUUCCAUGUGUAGCGGUGAAAUGCGUAGAGAUGUGGAGGAAUACCGGUGGCGAAGGCGGCCCCUGGACAAAGACUGACGCUCAUGUGCGAAAGCGUGGGGAGCAAACAGGGAUUAGAUACC